rnacentral:pre_miRNA from 1 species
AGCGUAAUUGCUGGGUUAUAUGGUGAGACUAUGUGUAGCUUUGUAAAAAACUUUCAAACUGUCUUCCAAAGUGGCUGUACCAUUUUUAUUCUCAACAGCAAU